UCGGGUUUCUGUGUCUGGUUCUAGUCCAGAUGGGUCUAACUUCUGGUCUGGUCUGGGUUUUAGAACACUAGUCCAGAGUAGUAGAACACUACUAAUCUGCUUCCUGCUUCAAACCAAAAAGAAAAGAAAAGAAAAGAAAACAAGCUUGAAUGCAUAAUAGAUGCAAUGGAAAUAUGUCCAGUUUUUUGGUGUAAUUUUAAGUAAAGAUAUGUUAGAACUUGAGCUCAUUAUCUAUCAUUGGUCAGAGAGAAAUGAACAGGAUCUUUGUUUCAGCGUGUAUUGAAUAUCAUACUUGUUAAAUUCAUUGGAAUUUGCUUACUGUUAUCUAUAGCUCCAUGAAACCAAAGCUGCAUCAAUUCAUGCAUCACUAUGAUGCAUGUGAGAACAUAUCUAACAUAUGCAAACAUGGAAAACCUGUUAUAUACAUCCAUCAUGCUUGUAUUUUAGUUUACCAGUGCAAUACUGACAAUACUCAAUUGUAUGACACUUAGUACUAACACUAACACAAAAACUAUGACUUGUUUGAGUGUUGCACAUUUUUCUUUGUGCUUGUAAUGUACUAAAAUGCACCAUUGCUCACUUGCAUUGGUGUAUUGUAUGUUAAUAUCCCAUUACUCUCCCUUGCAUUUAUGUAUUGUAUUUUAAGGCAUGUUUAGAUGUAUACCAGAAUGAGAAUGAAAUCGAGUAUGCAUCAGCUGGUGCACAUUCACUGGAUUGGAGCUGUUUGGUGCAUCUAGAAAAAUAUUAAUAGUUGGAUGUGCUAAUGUUCUUGUCUGCAAAAUGUGCCACAAAAAUGAGAAUAGGAUGAUAAUGGUCUGGAACUGUUAUUGUCCCAAUCAAAUUCACCAUCUUUGUCUUUGUAAAAAUGGCUACAGUUUAUGAUCUGCAAAAGGCACACUUGCACAUCUCUUACUCGGGUGUGAUAUGUUUAUAAUUGCAGUGCUAAUGCCUGACUGAGCGUUGAAACAUUUCUGUUACUGUCCCAUCUCAGAUUUGAAGCAAAACAGAGAGAAACUCCAUGUUAAAAAAAACUCUUAAAAAAAAAACAUUUCUGUUACAGGCUCAUUAUCUAUCAUUGUGCUUUCUCCAUGCAGAGACCUCGGCUUUAACAGCCUGACUGGUGAUAUUCCAAGCUCCUUUGAAAGCCUUGCAAGAGUGGAUUUCAUGUAUUUAACUGGGAAUAUGCUGACUGGGCCUAUACCUGGUUGGAUCUUGCAAAGAAACAAGAACUUGGAUAUUUCUUACAACAAUUUCACAUGGGAGGGCUCUAGUCCAAAUGUGUCCUCAAGGGAGCAUGUAAGAAUACUUCUACUUGUGCUCCGUACCAUAUUGCAUAACAUAGAUUCAUGUGUUUUCCACUACAACUUUUAUCAAUAUCGCCAGUAACCUUGUGGAGGGCUUCUCUUCAACAGCGGACAAACUGUACAUGGCAUACAUCAUGGAGACUAAUGAGUGGGAAUGUGUAAAGCUUUUUUCCAUCAUUCAUAUUGAGGCCAGAGACCCAACCCGUCAGGACCAUCACAAUAGUGCUGUCCAUACUACAAGCUCAAGCCCAUCACAACUGUCUGAUCUUACUCUCAUCUUUCCUGUUCGUGCUGGUCAACCACAAAGAAGGCAGGGGAAGAAAUAUAGAGAAUGAAGCCAUAUUUGGUCUUGUGAUAUUUUUGGGCGAUUGAACUGUUGAUCUUAUGAGAUUGGAAGAUCCAAUCCUUGUGAUUAAUGGCUCAUAAGACAAGAAUAAAGAAGAACGUCCACAUUCAAAAGAAAAUAGUUAAAUGGCAGUGUUGUAAUUUCAAUAACUGAGUUUCUUUGGAUAGCCUCAUCCACCAAGAUCCCCAUCAUAUGAAAGGUUUGAUGAAAAAUGACCGAUCCAUAUCCACGGCUUUAACUCGGACAAGACUUGUCCGAGUUGACUCAGACUCAAUCAGACCCAAUCUGGGUCCACAAUGAGUCACUCCCCAACUUGGCUGAGUCACGCCAAUUCACCCCUGAGUGAGUCGUGACUUGGAUUCGGACAGGACAAGUUAGUUUUAGUCUUUUAACCACACCCAAAUGCUGCAGUGCUGAUGUUUCUAUAAUUGAUAGGUGCAGUCUACUCCCGGCACCCAUUUGAUCUAGUUCUGUUUAAGCAACUUUAUUGGUGGGCAUCAUGCAUUGCAUUGGACAUCAAGCAAAACCAGCCUUCAAACUUUUCUCCUAUCAUUCGCCCGGGGGAGUGGUCCAAUAUUGGGAGCCGUACAUCUAUGGAUGACACUCAUGUCUGCAUUGCCAACCUGGCUAAGAAGUUUCGUUAUAACUUCCUAGAUGAUGAAGCUAUUUCGUUCUAUAGAUGGAGUUCGACCAUAGUGGAAGUUACCUUGCAAUUGCAGGUUCUGAUAUCAGGCUUUACCAAGUAGCCAAUGUUAAGAUGGAAUGGAAUUUGAUCAAGACAUUCCUAGAUUUAUCGAGAACAGGUGGAUUGAUCCUCUUGAGGCCUGAUCAUGGUGGCCCACUCCAGUUCGCAGCAGCUGCGGCGUUUCUUAAUAAAUUAUACAAAAGACUAUCUUAGUAUAAUUCGGAGUUAUGGAGGGAGUUGUGAUUCUCAAUCAUUUUCCAUGAAGUAUAGUUUUUU